rnacentral:snRNA from 1 species
GGCUGUGAGGGCAAUAGGGACACAUCUGUCACCUCACUGAUCGCCAGGGCUGAUGUGGCUGUUCCGGCCCGCCAGGCGAGUGCGUCCUUCCUCCCUCACGGCUCCACGCACGUGCGUCCCUCCCAAGGCCACCCGCGCUGCAUAGGAUAACCACCCACCAUAGAGGACUGUUUCCCAGGCCAAGGGUACACACCCAGCUACAUUCCCCUCCUAAAACCUUCAAAGAAGCGAUCAAAGGCCAAUGUCAUCUAAGCAUGUCUUCUUAAAUCAUGAAGUCAUCUCCACUUCAUUCCCCGCAGCACAAGACAGACAGUUAUCGUUCCAUUUUGGAAAGUCUGAUCAUUCUAC